rnacentral:lncRNA from 1 species
GAAAGAGAUGGAAACCUAAGUAAGCUGUUCUGGAGCUGCACACAGAGGCAUACAACUGCAAUGGAGGUCACAGGCUACUCCUGUGGUCUCCAACAGGCUCUGCUGUUCCAAGCUCACUGCCUGAGCACUCUCUGAGCCCUGGAGGGGCAGAGGCUAGGGAGGCUGUGGAAAGCAGGGAGAGAAAAGGCCAUGCUCCUGUAAGGGAGCAACACGGUUUCGUCUGGCUGACAGAGUCCAUCCAGGGAUCAGCUGUGGAGCUGCUCAACUCUAGCUCGCCAAAGUCUGAGGUUAACAAGUUCAGCCACGGUGGGCAUUACAAAUAGUGGCCUGUACGGAGACCCGAGGACAUCCUCGUGGAUUCAGAACUCUUCAAGAUCUAGAUGGCGACGUCGAAUCAAGACAAUCCAAUUUGGGUGGCUGAGCAUUUGACUCGCAAACUGCUUCUUGCUACUCCUG